GAUGGAUCUUCCUGUAAGGUCAAGUUGAGGGUUGAAGGGAUCCAGCUGGAGUCUUGGGAAAUUGCUAAGCUUCUUCCCAUAUCUCACUCCAGAGCAACAGGACAAGUCAAUGGAAGAGGAGAAAAUUUGGCUUUGGUCAUUGAGUUUCCAGAUGGCUUUUCAUAACUCGAGGCACCAGCAGGCUUUUCCUGGGAAUCCAAAGCUCUGAGGAUAUGAGUCCCCACCAUUGGCCUGGCCCAUUCUUACAGCCAGUUUUAUUUGGAAAAGGCAGGAUUGGGCCUUAUCAACCCUUUCUUCGAAGCACUGAACCUCUUGCUCAGGAAAGUAACAAAAGCUACCACUUUGUUAUCUUUUCAGAAGGUUUCCAAGAUCAAACUCUUUCAUUUGGCUUGGGUCUGAGGAACUGGUUUCCUGCAGAGACUGAAAUCUGCAGCAGUGUAUUGAUGGUGUCUCAAUUUGUUUUCUGUAUGUGAUGUAUUUUUUAAAUAUGAUUAUUAUUAUUUGAUGUAAACUUCUUUGAACUGCAGGAAAGGAAGUAUUUUAAUAAAACAAACUUC